CCGGGGCCGCUCAGACCUGCAGCGGAGCCGCGGCGCCCGCUCGGAUCGGCUCGGGGCUGCGCCCCCGGGACCCCGCGACGGGGGCGGGGGGGGCGCUCCCCGCCGGCCUGGGCCCCUCGGCAGUGCCAGGUGUGGAUCCAUGGGGUAGCCCCAGCGCAUCUGCCCUUCUACCCCAGCCAGCUCAAUGGGCCACCUGGCCCAGCCCAACCUCAGCACACAGGGCCAGUGAACAGAGCCCUGGCUGGAGUCCAAACAUGUGGGGCCUGGUGAGGCUUCUGCUGGCCUGGCUGGGUGGCUGGGGCUGCAUGGGGCAUCUGGCAGCCCCAGCCCGGGCCUGGGCCAGGUCCCAGAGGCACCCAGGCCCUGCACUGCUGCGGACCCGAAGGAGCUGGGUCUGGAACCAGUUUUUUGUCAUUGAGGAAUAUGCCGGUCCAGAGCCUGUCCUCAUUGGCAAGCUGCACUCGGAUGUUGACCGGGGAGAGGGCCGCACCAAGUACCUGUUGACCGGGGAGGGGGCAGGUACCGUAUUUGUGAUUGACGAGGCCACAGGCAAUAUCCAUGUCACCAAGAGUCUGGACCGGGAGGAGAAGGCACAAUAUGUGCUACUGGCCCAAGCUGUGGACCGAGCCUCCAACCGGCCCCUGGAGCCGCCAUCAGAGUUCAUCAUCAAAGUGCAAGACAUCAAUGACAAUCCACCCAUUUUUCCCCUCGGGCCCUACCACGCCACAGUGCCAGAGAUGUCUAAUGUUGGGACAUCAGUAAUCCAGGUGACUGCUCAUGAUGCCGAUGACCCCAGCUAUGGGAACAGUGCCAAGCUGGUGUACACCAUUCUGGAUGGACUGCCUUUCUUCUCUGUGGACCCCCAGACUGGAGUGGUGCGGACAGCCAUCCCCAACAUGGACCGGGAAACACAGGAGGAGUUUUUGGUGGUGAUCCAGGCCAAGGACAUGGGCGGCCACAUGGGGGGGCUGUCGGGCAGCACUACGGUGACCGUCACCCUCAGUGAUGUCAACGACAACCCCCCCAAGUUCCCUCAGAGCCUGUAUCAGUUCUCUGUGGUGGAGACAGCUGGGCCUGGCACGCUGGUGGGCCGGCUUCGGGCCCAAGACCCAGACCUGGGGGACAACGCCCUUAUGGCAUACAGCAUCCUGGACGGUGAGGGGUCUGAGGCCUUCAGCAUCAGCACAGACUCCCAGGGACGAGACGGGCUCCUCACUGUCCGCAAGCCACUAGACUUCGAGACCCGUCGCUCCUACUCCUUCCGCGUGGAGGCCACCAACACACUCAUCGACCCAGCCUAUCUGCGGCGAGGGCCCUUCAAGGAUGUGGCCUCUGUGCGUGUGGCUGUGCAGGAUGCCCCAGAGCCCCCUGCCUUUACCCAGGCCGCCUACCUCCUGGCUGUGCCUGAGAACAAGGCUCCUGGGACCCUGGUGGGCCAGAUCUCAGCUGCUGACCUGGACUCCCCUGCCAGUCCCAUCAGAUAUUCCAUCCUCCCCCACUCGGACCCGGAGCGCUGCUUCUCUAUUGAGCCUGAAGACGGCACCAUCCACACAGCCGCGCCCCUGGACCGUGAGGCUCAUGUCUGGCACAACCUCACCGUGCUGGCCACAGAGCUCGACAGCUCUGCACAGGCCUCCCGAGUGCAAGUGGCCAUCCAGACCCUGGAUGAAAAUGACAAUGCUCCACAGCUGGCUGAGCCCUAUGACACCUUUGUGUGUGAUUCUGCAGCCCCUGGCCAGCUGAUUCAGGUCAUCCGGGCCCUGGACAGAGACGAAGAUGGCAACAGUAGCCGUGUCUCCUUUCAAGGUCCCCUGGGCCCUGAUGCCAACUUUACUAUCCGAGAUAACCGAGAAGAUGGCUCUGCCAGCCUGCUGCUGCCCUCCCGCCCUGCUCCGCCCCGCCAGGCCCCCUACCUGGUUCCCAUAGAACUGUGGGACUGGGGGCAACCCUCACUGAGCAGCACUGCCACAGUGACUGUCAGCGUGUGCCGCUGCCGGCCUGAUGGUUCUGUGGCAUCCUGCCGGCCCGAGGCUCAGCUCUCAGCCACUGGGCUCAGCACUGGUGCCCUGCUUGCCAUCGUCACCUGUGUGGGUGCCCUGCUUGCCCUGGUGGUGCUCUUCGUGGCCUUGCGGCGGCAGAAGCAGGAAGCGCUGAUGGUCCUGGAGGAGGAGGAUGUCCGGGAGAACAUCAUCACCUACGACGACGAGGGCGGCGGCGAGGAGGACACGGAGGCCUUUGACAUCACGGCCCUGCAGAACCCCGACGGGGCGGCCCCGCCGGCGCCUGGCCCCCCAGCGCGCCGCGAUGUGCUGCCCCGGGCCCGGGCGCCGCGCCAGCCCAGGCCACCGGGCCCUGCAGACGUGGCGCAGCUCCUCGCACUGCGGCUCCGCGAGGCGGACGAGGACCCCAGCGUGCCCCCGUACGACUCGGUGCAGGUGUACGGCUACGAGGGCCGGGGCUCCUCCUGCGGCUCCCUCAGCUCCCUGGGCUCCGGCAGCGAAGCCGGUGGCGCCCCCGGCCCCGCAGAGCCGCUGGACGACUGGGGUCCGCUCUUCCGCACCCUGGCCGAGCUGUAUGGGGCCAAGGAGCCCCCGGGCCUCUGAGCGCCGUGGAGGGGCAGCGGCACAGGCCCUCUGAGUGAGCCCCACGGGGUCCGGGCAGGCGGCAGCAGCCCAGGGGCCCAGGCCUCCUCCCUGUCCCUGUGUCUUUCCUUCCCCAGGGCACCCUUGCUCUUCCCUCCUUGUCCUCCUGAGUCUGUUUGUCUCUCUCCAGGGAUCCUUGUCUCUGUCUGUGACACUGUCCUGGUCUGGGCUUUGAGGCUCUGACCCUGAGCCUGUGUCCUCGCACUGUGAUGCCUCUCCGUUCUCUGUGGCUGUUUGUCUCUGCAGUUGGAAACCUCUCUCUCUCCCUCUCUCUCUCCCUCUCUCUCCCUCUCUCUCUCUCUCUCUCUCUCACGCACACGCACGCUGUCUCCCUUGCCCACACACAUGCUCUGUUUCUGUCUCCUGCCCACAUCUCCCUUCCUUCGCUGGGUCCCUGUGACUGGCUUUUUGGUUUUUUUCUGUUGUCCAUCCCCAAAAUCAAGAGAAACUUCCAGCACUGCUGCCCACCCUCCCGCAGGGGAUGCUCUCUGCCCCAGACCUGCCCACAUGGUUCCAUCCAUCACUCAUGGCCUCAUCCUGGCUCCACUGGCCUCCAGCAGGGAGAGGGAGCCAGCCGCCUCCCAGGGCGAGAGCUCCAGCCUCCCACGUGGCCGCCUCCCUGGAGCUCUGCCCAGCUGUCAGCCGCCCUGGGCAUCCCAGCUCUAGGCAUUGUCUUGUGUGCUCCCCAGGCCCCAGGGGGAGCAGGGAAGGAAAGGGGGAGGCAGCUGGGGAAGGGGAAAGAGGGAGGAAGGGGAGGGGCCUCCAUCUCUAAUUUCAUAAUAAACAAACACUUUAUUUUGUAAA